UGCACCCAUGCUGUUGAUUGCUAAAUGUAAUAGUCUGAUCAUGACGCUGAAUAAAUGUGUCUUUUUUUAAAUGUGCUGUGUAAAGUUAGUCUACUCUGAAGCCAUCUUGGUAAACUACCCCAACAGUGUGAAGUUAGAAUUCCUUCAGGGUGAUGCCAGGUUCCAUUUGAAAUUUUAUUUGCAACCUGCUUGGGCACAGAAUCCAUUGUCUCCACAAACAUUGGUGUGGUUGAACUGACAGUUAAUGUGUUGUGACCUGGAGUUCACCGUUAAAAGGGUCACCCAAGCAAAGUCCUGGAGUUUAUUUGGUUAUUAAUAUGAUUGUUGGCACAUCCUAUGCAAUAUAUCUAAAUUGAAUCAUGGUAUCAGAUAAAAUUAUAGAUGGGAUUAAAGCUUGUGUAUCAUCCAUUAUCAUGUGUAAUCAAUAAACGAUUUAAUAUUCUCUUGAAUGGAAUGGCAACUGUAUGGAUUUGGGACUGGCAGAGCUUUGGACUUUCCCUGCCCACUACCCCUCAUAAUGUUGAAUGCUUCUAUCACAAUUCAAGUUCAAAACUCUGCCAGAGAAUAGAAACCAGCUGCUGGCUAAUGCCACCCCAUAAGUCCACAGAUUAGAAGUGUUUGGGAGACCUUUUUAAGCUGACCAGCACCAGUAAGAAUAUCUUAUUUUUAAUGCAAAAACAGGCUUACAUUAAAGGAAAACAGCAGUUACACUCUGUUCUGGUUUGGUGGGUCCUUAAUAGAGGUCUGUAGAUUAACUAUAUGGAUUUCUUAUUUGGAUAGUAAAAUUUUGGGGAUGGGGAGGCAAUUUUAGUAUAUUCAUGCUAACUGCAGUUUUCCUUUAACUAUGGUACAUCACACAACCAUCCUAAAAUGUUAAUUGUACAGAAAAUGAUUUCUGAAGCCUUUUAUAGUUACAUAAUAUCCGAUCAUUGUUAUUUGUUACAUAGGUUCUCUUGAGCCCUCCCUUUGGUACCCUCAAUUUCAGUGCCAUUGUACCUGGCAGCAUAGAGAAUUGUUUAUCACUAGGACUGUGUAUUCCCUCCCAAUAUCUUGGAUGUGUUGCUUGGAAGUUUUGGGGAGGAGGGUGGAGGGGGGAGUGGGUGGGAGGUGGGAGGGAAAGCAUGGGUGAUAGUUCCAUGAGUUUGAUAUCGGCUGAGUUUGCAAUGGCAGGUGGAACCUUAACUAUUGAGGGAGUUUGCAGAUACCUCAGGAUUCGUGACAAUGCCUUUAAAGAUCCAGGAGAGAUGUUCAGCUACUAGGAACUGCUAGCAAGCAUAGCGCGAAUGGCUCCGAGCUCAGACACUCUACAGCUGAGAGUAGACACUUGUGGUAUGUGGAGUACAGAUAAGCCAGGGGCCGGCCAUGGCACGCUCCAUGAAAGCUAGGAGGGAGUGAAGUUUCAGUGACCAUCGCAAGAAAGGAGGCAGACCAGAGUAAGGCACACCUGACUCUUAGGACUAGCAGUCAGAACCAGGAGAAAAGGUUUUAUUGCUAUGCUGGUAGGUAAGAACAGAUUUUACUUCCAUCCAUAUAGUGUUCUCUAAAAUCCAGUUUUGUUAACAUUCUCCUUAAUAUAUUGAGCCAAAACUAGUCCAGUUAAGCUGAACCUGGUUUUUCUGGAGAUGAAUUUUCUUAACUUUGACACCCUAGAUUUGGUGGCUCCCAAACGAAGGAAGUAAAACACUCUAAUUCUGUAACCAUAUAUUUUUUGCCCUUUAAUUUUAUUUCCUUCCUACCUUUGACCCAUUUCCUUAAAAUAAUGGCUCAAAGUAAUGUGUUAGAAUCUCCCCCAAAAGCUGGCGGGAGGGAGGGUGGACCAUUUUGGGGAGGGGGGUGGGGGGUUGACCCUGAGCUGGGAGUUGGUCUCCCAGAAAGCUAGUUCUAAAGGUUGUUUACUUUUCUAGGGAGGAGUCUGCCACUCCCGGCUAAAUCAACUCUCUUUAAAAAUAUAAAACAAAACAAACUCAUCUGUCCAAAUUCAUGGCUAAAAGGAACAUCCUUAUGAGGACAACCUUUAUCUGAGCCACUAUGCACUUCAUUUUCACUGCCAUGUAGUUGUUAGCUGUUCGCAGCUUGAAUUAAUCAUUCAGUUUUAUGAAUGGACUUUUUUUAAUAAAAUGCUUUUAAUUUCGA